rnacentral:rRNA from 1 species
AGCAGCCGCGGUAAUUCCAGCUCCAAUAGCGUAUAUUAAAGUUGUUGCAGUUAAAAAGCUCGUAGUUGAAUUUCGAGAUCAAAUUGUUGGUCGUGCCUUGGUACGUACUGGCAUUAUUGGUUUCUCCCUUCUGAAGAACCAUGAUGUCAUUAAUUUGGUGUCAUGGGGAAUCAGGACUGUUACUUUGAAAAAUUAGAGUGUUUAAAGCAGGCUCGCGCUUGAAUACAUUAGCAUGGAAUAAUGAAAUAGGACGUUUAAUUCUAUUUUGUUGGUUUCUAGGAUUGACGUAAUGAUUAAUAGGGAUAGUUGGGGGCAUUAGUAUUCAAUUGCCAGAGGUGAAAUUCUUGGAUUUAUUGAAGACUAACUACUGCGAAAGCAUUUGCCAAGGAUGUUUUCAUUAAUCAAGAACGAAAGUUAGGGGAUCGAAGACGAUCAGAUACCGUCGUAGUC